AAAAUCCGYUGGCUUUAUUGACCGMGAGGGUUCAAGUCCCUCUACCCCCA
rnacentral:tRNA from 2 species